ensembl:ncRNA asRNA:CR46092 antisense RNA:CR46092
UGAUCUGCAGCUGCUCGAGAUCGCCGAGAAUGACAUUUUCGAACUCGACCGUCUCCUUGGCGGGAUUCGUGUCAUCGAAUCUCAUGAUCAGCGUUCCUUGGAACGCCAAGGCGUAGUACUGAUUCAGCAGUGCCGCCUUAGCAUGACCAAUGUGGAGAUAGCCAGAGGCUUCUGGCGGGAAGCGCACAACCACCUUGCCCAUCUCGGCUCCUGGCAGGUCCACGAACUUGCCCUCCUGCUUGCGCUCGCCCGUUUUGGCAGGUGUCUGCUCCUUGGAAGACUGUGGACUCCUCUUAACCUUUGCAUCCUCUGGCAGGGACUGCAGCACCUUCUGGAUCAACGGCUGGGCGGUGAUGAGGUCAUACCAACGCUGCACGUGCUGAGGAAUUCCCUUAGCGGCGAGGAACUCAUAGCGCGAGUGCAUCUCGUUGAACAGUGCAAAAUCGGCGAUAGUCAGCUUGUUGGCCACCAGGUAGGUCACCGGGGCAAUGGACUUGUCCAGGAAGGAGAGAGCCCAGGAUAUGUCAUCCUCGCAGGUCAGUGAGAAAGACAGCCAGUGAUCAAUCUGUGUCCGUUCGAUGGCCGUUUCCCCGUACAGCUUGUAGUCCGGAGCAGCGCGAGCGAGGGCGCGCAGCACAUCGUUGUUGGAGUGGCACACCAACAGGCGAUUAUCUGGGAACUGCAGCGAAGUCUCCUCCUUGCUCCACACUAUCUCCACGGGCACCGUGCCAUUGAUUAGGUGCGCCGUCGCCAGGCCACCUAGUUGAAUGACUCAAUUAAUAUCACACGAUACCGGGGCUGAUGCAAUAAAAGAGGGUUCGAAUGGAUUGCCGAAUAUAUUGUGUACAUAAAUAGACCCCGAUGCGGAUAUAACCUCACUAAGUGCAAAUCCUCCGGGCACUGAAGGUCACAGCAGCCGGCAUCCGUUUGAUACUCACUUAUGGGCGGAUUGUUAAGGUUCGCUUUGAGCUUUAUUGACAUGUUCGCAGGUUGUUUGUUUGCAAUUGAAAUCAAACUGAUGAAAUUUCGGCUUUUAAACGGCACGAGUACGGCCAGCUGCUAACGUCUACACAGUCCAAUAGAG